UACGAGGGGUGCAAGCGUUAAUCGGAAUUACUGGGCGUAAAGGGUGCGUAGGUGGUUUGAUAAGUUACCUGUAAAAUCCCUGGGCUUAACCUAGGAAGGCCAGGUAAAACUGUUAGACUAGAGUAUAGUAGAGGGUAGUGGAAUUUCCGGUGUAGCGGUGAAAUGCGUAGAGAUCGGAAGGAACAUCAGUGGCGAAGGGCGGCUACCUGGGACGGUACUGACGCUGAGACG
rnacentral:rRNA from 1 species